CAGCAGCCGCGGGAAUACGUAGGUCCCGAGCGUUGUCCGGAUUUAUUGGGCGUAAAGCGAGCGCAGGCGGUUAGAUGAGUCUGAAGUUAAAGGCUGUGGCUUAACCAUAGUACGCUUUGGAAACUGUUUAACUUGAGUGCAAGAGGGGAGAGUGGAAUUCCAUGUGUAGCGGUGAAAUGCGUAGAUAUAUGGAGGAACACCGGUGGCGAAAGCGGCUCUCUGGCUUGUGACUAACGCUGAGGCUCGAAAGCGUGGGGCGCAAACAGGAUUAGAUACCCCUGUAGUCCCUGUCUCUUAUACA
rnacentral:rRNA from 1 species